ensembl:ncRNA K07E12.4 ncRNA
UGCCGUUUUUGUUGCAGCAAUCCUAUAAUUAUGCAAAGUUACCGCCAGAGUUUUGUUUUGUCGAACAGAAUGCCGGGAGUUCUGGAACUAGGAAUUUUCUGUUUGAAAGAUAAUAAAUCCUUUAAAUUUCAAUUUUCAAAAAGCAUCAAGGACACAAAAUCAAAG